rnacentral:rRNA from 1 species
UACGUAGGGUGCAAGCGUUGUCCGGAAUUAUUGGGCGUAAAGAGCUCGUAGGCGGUCUGUUGCGUCGGCUGUGAAAACCCGGGGCUCAACCCCGGGCCUGCAGCCGAUACGGGCAGACUAGAGUUCGGCAGGGGAGACUGGAAUUCCUGGUGUAGCGGUGAAAUGCGCAGAUAUUAGGAGGAACACCGGUGGCGAAGGCGGGUCUCUGGGCCGAUACUGACGCUGAGGAGCGAAAGCGUGGGGAGCGAACAGG